rnacentral:rRNA from 1 species
GACGAACGCUGGCGGCGUGCUUAACACAUGCAAGUCGAACGGAAAGGCUCCAGCUUGCUGGAGUACUCGAGUGGCGAACGGGUGAGUAACACGUGUGUAAUCUGCCCUGCACUCUGGGAUAAGCCUGGGAAACUGGGUCUAAUACUGGAUAUGACCUUUCUCCUUAUGGGGUUUGGUGGAAAGUUUUUCGGUGUAGGUUGAGCCCGCGGCCUAUCAGCUUGUUGGUGGGGUGUUGGCCUUCCAAGGCGACGACGGGUAGCCGGCCUGAGAGGGUGAUCGGCAACAGAGGGACUGAGAUACGGCCCAGACUCAUGAGGGGGGCAGGAGGGGGGAAUAUAGCAAAAAGGGCGGAAGGCUGAAGCAGCGACGCCGGGUGGGAGAAGACGGCCAUCGGGUAGUAAAAAACUUUCAGCAGGGACGAAGCGUAAGUGACGGAACCAGCAGAAGAAGCACCGGCAAACUAGGU